rnacentral:misc_RNA from 1 species
AAGUCGUAACAAGGUUUCCGUAGGUGAACCUGCGGAAGGAUCAUUACUGAGCAAGGGUCUGUCGACCCGACCUCCCACCCUGUGAAGUCGCACACUGUUGCUUUGGCGGGACCGUCGAUCUUUGGUCGACCGUCGGACACUGUCUGGCCCGUUUCCGCCAAAGAACCACACAACUCUUGUUUAACACGCAAGUCGGAGUAACAAAACAAAUGAAAUCAAAACUUUCAACAACGGAUCUCUUGGUUCUG